rnacentral:rRNA from 1 species
CUGACGGGUAGAUCUCCCACCCACUGUUAUCGUUACCGUCGUUGCUUUGGCGGGCCGCCAGGCCCGCCGGAGGCCCCCCAAACUCUGAAUGUUAGUGUCGUCUGAGUACUAUACAAUAGUUAAAACUUUCAACAACGGAUCUCUUGGUUCUGGCAUCGAUGAAGAACGCAGCGAAAUGCGAUAAGUAAUGCGAAUUGCAGAAUUCAGUGAGUCAUCGAAUCUUUGAACGCACAUUGCGCCCUGUGGUAUUCCGCAGGGCAUGCCUGUUCGAGCGUCAUUUCAACCCUCAAGCUCUGCUUGGUGUUGGGCCACGCCCCCGCGGCCGGCCCCAAAGCCAGUGGCGGUACCGCCCGGCUCUAAGCGUAGUACACCUCUCGCUCUAGAGCCCGGCGGUUCCCUGCCAGAACCUACACUCUUAUGGUUGACCUCGGAU